rnacentral:rRNA from 1 species
GAUCAUGGCUCAGAUUGAACGCUGGCGGCAUGCUUUACACAUGCAAGUCGAACGGUAACAGGGAGCUUGCUCCGCUGACGAGUGGCGAACGGGUGAGUAAUGCAUCGGAACGUACCCAGUCGUGGGGGAUAACGUAGCGAAAGUUACGCUAAUACCGCAUACGUCCUGAGGGAGAAAGCGGGGGACCGAAAGGCCUCGCGCGAUUGGAGCGGCCGAUGUCGGAUUAGCUAGUUGGUAGGGUAAAGGCCUACCAAGGCGACGAUCCGUAGCGGGUCUGAGAGGAUGAUCCGCCACACUGGGACUGAGACACGGCCCAGACUCCUACGGGAGGCAGCAGUGGGGAAUUUUGGACAAUGGGCGCAAGCCUGAUCCAGCCAUGCCGCGUGAGUGAAGAAGGCCUUCGGGUUGUAAAGCUCUUUCAGGUGGAAAGAAAACGCAUGGGUCAAUACCCUGUGUGGAUGACGGUACCAUCAGAAGAAGCACCGGCUAACUACGUG